AAAGACCCUGCCUCUUGAUGGAAGGAAAGUCAAACAAUUUUUCUAGCCAUUUUUUAAAACCAACAUGCCAAUAAAUGGUUAUCUAGAAAACCUGAAAAUGCAAGAUUUACCCCUAAUCCAGAGACGCCUCUUUCCAAGAUCUCAUUCAAGAACCAAAACACAGCUUUCAACCACUAUGCAUACUGCUUGCUUAUGCUACAUCGGCUCCAUCUGAUCCGUAGAUAAAGAAAUGCUGGAAAGUAGAAAGCUGUAAAUGCAUAAUGCAAGGAGAGAAUGGGAGCAGGGAGGGUUUGAAGUAACGACUGAUUUCAGACCAGCCCCCUCCCCAUUAGGGCUUACCUCAAGUCUCCUCUAGUCUAUUUACAGCUAUGUCCACCCAAGCUGUCUUUCCUGCUGCACAGUGAGUGGCACAGAGACCAACCGAGUGCACCAUACGAGACCAAUUAGCUAGAGAAAAUGUGUGCUGGAUCCUCCACCACCAGAAUCCAGAGCUACUGAGACCCUGUAUCUGGCAAUUGGGUUUGGACAGGCAGACAAGGGGAGUUCCAGGGUGUCUGGUGGGCUCUUAGGUAAGACCUGGGCUGGACAGCUUAGACCUUCAGCUUCCUACCCAGGAACCUAAAAGAGCUACAAUCUAUAGCGCAAUCCCCGCACUAAGUGACCUUCGCAGUUGCUGGUGAAGAGGAGAAGGCACAGACUUUGUCCGUGGCAGGAGAAAGAACAAGAGGAAUGUGCCAAUCUUGAGACAGAGGAAUGAGCAUCUCAUUUCCAGGAAUCUCACUGCUGAUAGCACAGAUGGAAUUAGAGGAAGCCAGGAUGAUCUUCUGGAAGUGGUGCUCAGGUCUCUCAUGAAAGCAGGGAAUCUGUUCUUCUCCUAGCGGUACCUAAGGGAACUGGCUCCCCACUUCCUGCCACGAGGAAGUUCACUGGAAUGCUGCUGAACUUGACCUUGAGGUUCCAGGUGCCUCCCAUAGUGGUGUUCCCAAGCUGACUUUGGUAGUGGUUGUACAACC
rnacentral:lncRNA from 1 species